GAAGCAGAGCCCUGCCAUGUUGGCCAGGGGACACAAGGAAGUUUCAUCCGUGCAAGUUUCUGUGGAGCCCCGUCCUGUGUUUCUCUCACAUACAGUGAUCCUCUUCCAAAUGGGGAGAUCAGAGGGACCAUGCACCUAUUCCCCUGGCCAGAGUGCUUUGAUUCUCAAGGUGCAUCAGCUAUGGAGAGUUCAAGCUCUGACCGUGAGAUACUUGCUUCUAAGAGACAUAAAUAACAGCCGGAAAAUAAAGCAGGUGAUCUCUGGAAAUGCCUGGACACAUGCAAAUGAAAUACACCUCAGGACUCUGGUUCUUUAG
rnacentral:lncRNA from 1 species